AGUGAACGCUGGCGGUAGGCCUAACACAUGCAAGUCGAACGGCAGCACAGGAGAGCUUGCUCUCUGGGUGGCGAGUGGCGGACGGGUGAGGAAUACAUCGGAAUCUACUCUGUCGUGGGGGAUAACGUAGGGAAACUUACGCUAAUACCGCAUACGACCUACGGGUGAAAGCAGGGGACCUUCGGGCCUUGCGCGAUUGAAUGAGCCGAUGUCGGAUUAGCUAGUUGGCGGGGUAAAGGCCCACCAAGGCGACGAUCCGUAGCUGGUCUGAGAGGAUGAUCAGCCACACUGGAGCUGAGACACGGUCCAGACUCCUACGGGAGGCAGCAGUGGGGAAUAUUGGACAAUGGGCGCAAGCCUGAUCCAGCCAUACCGCGUGGGUGAAGAAGGCCUUCGGGUUGUAAAGCCCUUUUGUUGGGGAGGAAAAGCAGAGGGUUAUUAAGCCUUUGUAUUGACAUUACCCACAGAAUAAGCACCGGCUAACUCUGUGCCAGCAGCCGCAGUAA
rnacentral:rRNA from 1 species